AGAAAGAAGAAAACGCCAAAGAAUAGAAGAUGGGGAGAACAGACGAAGAGAAUGGAGAGAGCGUUAUGCACAAAGAGAUGAGACUGCUGCCAGAAACCGGAUGUCCAUGUCUGAGAUGAAGGAAACCAACUAUGGCGAAACCCUAAAUUCAGACACAAACCGGCAGGCCAAGUACACCCGUAGCAGCAGCCAGACAGGACGAGACAGCAUUGAGUUGUUGCAGGACGCGGAGCCGUUGGACUUUAAUGCUGCAACACUCAAUGAUGACCCUUUGCAAUCUGAACC